rnacentral:lncRNA from 1 species
UACUCAGCCGUUGGGACGCGCUUCCGCCCUGCGCGGACUGGCUGAGGGCCCACGGCGCCACCGAGGAGGUCGCCGAGAGGCCGGCGACAGUGUCCACUGGAGCCCCGCCGUGGGAAUUCCGGGGCUUCAGCGGGCCGAUCGUCCGGCUCCCCGCCCCCUGCGCAGCCCUGGCAGCCCUGCAGGCUAGCAGCACCCUUCAGAGCUCUCCAACACAACCCACCCCAGUAAAGGGCCACUUGUUCCCAGAUCUCUGGUUUCCUCACGUCCUUUCCAACACUCCUCACACUUCCUCCCCAAAAGACCCAACUAGGCCACUUGAUCCCAGCGAGAAUGGAUAGCUUGGCAAUUUUGCUUGCUUUCUUUUUUCCUUCGAGUAUGGUUUAAAGAUUCUCUUUAUCAGGAAGACUACGGGUGGGGGGAAUUACAUAUAAUUAUACAUAUAUAUGUGUAUGUGGAUAUAUAGAUAUAAUUUUCAA